ACUAUUGAUAAGCCUCAGUAGUUAAAACCACUUCCCAGGAGAAUAUAAAAAUAAAAGGAUUCUCUCUUUUCUUAUUUGGAAACACCUGACUUUAAAAAGAUCUGGUGACAUUUAUUUUUUUUUCCUAAGAAAUUCCACCAUGAAGAUUCAUCUCUUUUUCUUUAUUCUGCUCUUUUGGGUCACAAUUUUACCAGCCAGAAGUAACUUUGAUCCAAAGUAUAGAUUUGAGAGAUGUGCAAAAGUGAAAGGAAUAUGUAAAACAUUUUGUGAUGAUGAUGAAUAUGAUUACGGAUACUGCAUUAAAUGGAGAAAUCAGUGCUGCAUAUAAACUCUGGAAAACAGAAGUACUAUUGAGCAUCGAAAUCUGGAACAGAGAUGCAUCUUAUUGACUCAAGAUCAUGCCCUGGAGAGCCUGCAUGGUGAUCAAAAGUGCUUCAGUGUCACAGGAGGCAAAACACAGGACCCACAUCAAGCAUUUUAGUACUUCUCACCCUUUGGCUGCCAAGCUGGAGCUGUUGUCAAGCAGGUUGCUUU